GUCUACGGCUAUGCCACCCUGAAUAAGCCCGACCCCGUCUGAUCUUGGAAGCUAAGCAGAGUUGGGCCUGGUUAGUACUGGUUAGUACUGGUUAGUACUGGUUAGUAGACCACCUAGGAAGACCAGGUGCUUUGGCGU
rnacentral:rRNA from 1 species